CUUCAUUUGACAAAACUCUUAAUGACCAGACUACUGCUGCCCUGGACUCUUGAGUCUUCCUUCUCUGGGGAGCAGAGCAUCAGCUUUUCCACUUGUGCACCAGUAGCUUCGUGGAGGAUUUCGUGGCAGAGCCUACAGUGGAGACUAAUUGAUUCUGUGUUUUCAGACAUAGUGACUUCCCAGGAGUCAAACCUGCAAGUUUGCUACUACUGAACAUCUAACUCAGACAUCUAAGAAAGAUUCAGCAUGUGAGUUAUCUCAAUUUCUCUUUUAAGGGUUACAGUUGUA
rnacentral:lncRNA from 1 species